UGCCAGCCGCCGCGGUAAUACGGAGGGUGCAAGCGUUGUUCGGAAUUAUUGGGCGUAAAGAGCAUGUAGGCGGACUAUUAAGUCUGAUGUGAAAGCCCGGGGCUCAACCCCGGAAGUGCAUUGGAUACUGGUAGUCUUGAGUAUGGGAGAGGAAAGUGGAAUUCCGAGUGUAGGAGUGAAAUCCGUAGAUAUUCGGAGGAACACCAGUGGCGAAGGCGGCUUUCUAGCUUAUUCCUGACGCUGAGGCGCGAAAGCGAGGGGAGCGAACAGGAUUAGAUA
rnacentral:rRNA from 1 species